rnacentral:lncRNA from 1 species
AAGGAAUGUAUUGAUGAUCGUUUUUCUUUGAAAAAUAGAAUGUCUGGUAGAUGAGAAGCUAGAAACGAGAUGGGGACAAAAAUGAACCAUUACGAAAGAUGGAUGAACUUUUUCUCGAGUAAAGCUUGUUAUAGCUAUGAAACCAAGAAUCCAGUUGAGGGUAAACUCUAGAUUAAGACGAUGAAGAAAACCUUUGAUUUUCUUUGUACCGCA